AGUGGCGGACGGGUGAGUAACGCGUGAGAAUCUGCCUUGGGGUCGGGGACAACCACUGGAAACGGUGGCUAAUACCGGAUAAGCCGAUUGGUGAAAGAUUUAUUGCCCGAAGAGGAGCUCGCGUCUGAUUAGCUAGUUGGUGAGGUAAGAGCUCACCAAGGCAGCGAUCAGUAGCUGGUCUGAGAGGACGAUCAGCCACACUGGGACUGAGACACGGCCCAGACUCCUACGGGAGGCAGCAGUGGGGAAUUUUCCGCAAUGGGCGAAAGCCUGACGGAGCAAGACCGCGUGAGGGAGGAAGGCUCUUGGGUUGUAAACCUCUUUUCUCAGGGAAGAAGCUCUGACGGUACCUGAGGAAUCAGCCUCGGCUAACUCCGUGCCAGCAGCCGCGGUAAUACGGAGGAGGCAAGCGUUAUCCGGAAUUAUUGGGCGUAAAGCGUCCGCAGGUGGCGAUUCAAGUCUGCUGUCAAAGCACGGGGCUUAACUCCGUAAAGGCAGUGGAAACUGAAUAGCUAGAGUGCCGUAGGGGUAGAGGGAAUUCCCGGUGUAGCGGUGAAAUGCGUAGAGAUCGGGAAGAACAUCGGUGGCGAAAGCGCUCUACUGGACAGCAACUGACACUCAGGGACGAAAGCUAGGGGAGCGAAUGGGAUUAGAUACCCC
rnacentral:rRNA from 1 species